AGAGUUUGAUCCUGGCUCAGGAUGAACGCUAGCGGCAGGCUUACCACAUGCAAGUCGAGGGGCUGCGCAGUGUAGCAAUACAUGGGCGGCGACCGGCAAACGGGUGCGGAACACGUACGCAACCUACCCAAAACUGGGGAAUAGCCCGGGGAAACCCGGAUUAAUACCUCGUAACCUAAUGGAGUGGCAUCACUUUAUUAGUAUAGCUCCGGCGGUUUUGGAUGGGCGUGCGCCUGAUUAGGUAGUUGGUGAGGGUAACGGCCCACCAAGCCUGCGAUCAGUAACUGGUGUGAGAGCACGACCAGUCACACGGGCACUGAGACACGGGCCCGACUCCUACGGGAGGCAGCAGUAAGGAAUAUUGGUCAAUGGACGCAAGUCUGAACCAGCCAUGCCGCGUGAAGGAUGAAGGUCCUCUGGAUUGUAAACUUCUUUUAUAUGGGACGAAACCCGGGAAUUCCUUCCCGAUUGACGGUACCAUAAGAAUAAGCACCGGCUAACUCCGUGCCAGCAGCCGCGGUAAUACAGAGGGUGCAAGCGUUAUCCGGAUUCACUGGGUUUAAAGGGUGCGUAGGAGGGUAGGCAAGUCAGUGGUGAAAUCUUCGAGCUUAACUCGGAAACUGCCGUUGAUACUAUCUAUCUUGAAUACCGUGGAGGUGAGCGGAAUAUGUCAUGUAGCGGUGAAAUGCUUAGAUAUGACAUA
rnacentral:rRNA from 1 species